ensembl:lncRNA
AACAAAAUGACAUUGAUUCUUCCAGCUUUGUUUCCCAGCAGAUGGAUUAAAGAGAAAAUAAAUCUAUAUUUAUAAACAUAGCCACAAAACUCACAUUAGGUUUUAAAAGAAAAGCAUCUCCUCUUCCUGAGACCCCAGCCAGAGCUGUUUCUAAGCUAUUACAUUUUAUUUCAUUACUACAGGCAACAGGAAAGCAUCCAGAAGUUCUCUAUGUUCUUCUCCAGACACCAGGGGGGAUCAAAAGCGCAGAAUUUGCACUCACCUUGACAGAAACAAACGAAGACUAAUUGGUAAGUACCUACCAAGUAGCAAACCAUGGAAAACCAAAGCAGGCUCUAUUGAAAAUACAUCAUGCCAUACAGGUUCAAUUCCUUUUGAUGGGAUAACAGCAGGGAGAAACUGAUGACACAAACUGGAAUCUCUGACAUGUUUGAUCGGAGUAUCCAAUGGCUGGGCAGCGAGUUGUCUUUACUGCACUGGCUUUAUUCGUUUGGAGAAUGAAUUGCUGGACUACACAAGUCCGAGGGAUCUUUGGGAAUACUUCCAGCUCACGUGUAAUGGGACAAAGAAAAGGUUUUUCUAGUGAUUCCGCUCAUUUCUUGAAGAACAAGUUGAGGCUUCCUUAGAGCACUGAAGUCCAACAGUGGAAGAACAGCAUGACAUGGACCACAGCCCUGUGACAUUACAAGCGUGUAUUACAGCUGCCAGAUGGGCUCAGCUGACUCAUGCUCAGGAUCACUCCGACCAGCAGAUGUGAGGGUUACCACCUAUCUGCAACCAAGAAUUGAGUUGGGACACCUGUUUAACUUGCUUGCUACCAUAGCAAAAUCUACACAAAGAUAGCGAGUGAGUUAACAUACUCAGCAUACCAAGCAACAGAAGAAGUCAACCCUCGGGCAAAAAUAAUUAGUACAUUAUGGUUUUCUUCUAAUGUGAUCUUUCUAUUUCUUCCUGAAGUUUCAACGUAUGUAAGAUGAUUAGAAAAUACCUGCUCAAAUUUUAGGCUGCCCCUUCUAGUAAUUGAAAUGUUUAAGGUGUAUUAAAGGUAAUUUAUUUUCUGUCACCCAAGGAGAAGCCAUAACAUUAAUGGAUAUUGCCUUACCCUUGUUUGUACAAGGAAACGCAGCUUCGGCAAUUUUCUUUUUGAUUUAACUUUUACCGUUUAUUUUAUGAGAGGUUUCAAAAGACGUGCCUGUUAGUUACAGAGAUUUGUGCCCUGUGUGCAAAAACUCUAAUUACACUUUCUAAUUAAAAGCUUUAAGUGAUAACUUGUAUCUCAGUACUCCAUAAAUACAAAAAGGGUCCUAGUAAACACAGCAAUGUCUUCUAAAGCACCAGAACUUCUGCUAUGGGCAGAACUUCAGCUCAAAGAGAACAUGAAAUAAUAACAUUACUUCAAAUAAAACCAGUGAGGAGCAGACGCUGUCAGAUGUUCCUCCAGCUGCAGAUAAGUACCAGCACCACAGCCAAUGCUUGUGAACAUGGGAACUGCUGCCUGUCCAAACAAGCCAAGCUGUUACUGCCCAGCCUGGUUCUUUCUCUCGUUCUCCCCAGCUUACACAAAUGAUCCAGCCGAAGGCAUGCUGCCUCUCAGCAAAGAUCCCAGGACUGCGCACUGCAAGACCAGCAGCUCUGUUGCUGCCAAGGGUUCACCUGAGAACCCCAAACAAUAGCAAAGCAGGUGUUUGAGGGAAUGAAAAGCACACAGCUUCUGUGCUUUCCUUCUUUUUGAAAUGCUCCACUCUUACUCUGCCUAUCACCACUGACCCCAGGUAGGAAUCCAUUUAGGAACGCAGUACAAUAUGAGGUGGGAAAAACAAACACAUCGCAGAGCUGCCCGAAGCACUGACAGACAGCGGAUUCAAUCACUGCACGCUAAGCCCUUUAUAUCUUGGCGUUGUGAGUCAGGAAGACUAUUGCUAAAUUAAAUGAAAACAAAUGAGUGCAACUACCCUACUGAAGAACACCAGAUCCCAGCUAGGCAAUUCAGUAAUUGGUCAGUAUUUUGUGGCCCUUCUAACAAAAGCCAUGGAGAAUAAAACACCUGCUGACACAGCUGCUGCAAGUCUUUUCAGACCUGUCAAGUCUUAUCUACAAGCUCUUAUACAGGGGGAGUCAAAUUUCCAAGCCUACCAGAUGCACUUCUAAUUUACAGUUCAUUUAGGUGCUAAGUUGAUACUCUCUUAUUGUUCUUUGACAAGCUUCCGGAUUACUUGUGUAUCAAUAGAUAAGAGUUUCAGUAUCACAUCAUCUCUCCUGUUAAUCCAGAAGACUGCAGAAAACGAAAACAUCAGACAAGCUCUCUACAAGAAAUACAUUAAACCUCCAGCGUUCUCUAAGUUCGACAUUAAAGCUACUGGUUUCUUAACUAAAUACCUACGUACCAUUUAUCCCUGGUUGAAAAUACCUUGGGUUUUUCAGUUCACAGAGAAAAGCCCUGCCUAUUCUCAGUCCAACUCAAAGAGCUAAAUUAUUCAUACUACAAGAAGAAAGAUGUUGAAGAAAGACUGGCCCAAAAAUGAUAUAAAACUUCCUCUACGGUUUUAUAUACUAAAUGUGGGUUAUAUAUUUAUGAAGGCAAUAGAAGUGGAACAUUACCCGGAGAUAUUAUUCCCAUAAAGGCUUCUCUUUUUCUUAUCCCUCAGACUCUUCUCAUCAUUUUAUGUUAUGUGUGGCAAAUGCCUGGGAAUACAGGAGUUUUACUAACAAUCUACUGCACUGAAACACUAUGGUUCCUUCAAAUGCCUUGAGCAGAUAAGGCUUUGUUUUUCCUUUGUAGUAUUGUCACACUGGAUAUAAUAGGAUAUUCUGUCUAACCUCAUGAAUUAGUCCCAUUAAUCUCUUCGUCUAACAGCAUAUUGAAACAGGUAGUGCUACGUGCUUGGAGAAAAUCAGUCACUUCCUUUCAAACUUAUGUUAGGUCUCAUUUAAAUGAAUAUCCCCAUCUCCUAACUUCAUGGGAGAACGAGCAAGUGCAAAGCCCCCUCCUGUCUUCACAAUGACUGGGCAUUUGUCAUACCUGCUCUUAUUUACUCCUUCUCCAUUGCAAACAGUAUCAAUCCUCCCCCUCCUUCAGAACAAAGUCGCUAUGUCUCUGAACUUGCUUACUAUCCCUCCCUGGUCACUGUGCUUUCAUCUGGAGGAAAACACAUUAAGAGAUGGAAACGCAGAUGAAAUGACUUGGGAGCACAUAUUUUUAUAUUACAGAAGAUGCCUGCACACCUUGCACAGGGAUACAUUAAGAUUUCUAGUUUCUACAUCAAGAACAGGUGUAUCUAGAGAUAAUUCAGUACAGCACUACCAGAUAAGGCACUUCAGCCGAUAAAGUGAAAGGACAUUUGGAAAGAUGACUAAUAAAGCCUGAACGUCAAAACUCCACAGCAUCUCCAGCAGUCAGCACAGAAACUAGCAUAUGGUAGAUAUUGUUUCCACUCUGAACUUUGCUCAGCUUUCAGGUGCAGAAAGUAAAAAUACUCUCCAUUUACAAUAAUUAGCAAUCUGACUCAGUAUCUUUCUGGAAAAAAAAGUGCUCGGAAGCGAUACUGUGAACAUUUCUGUGCUUUCAACUCUUUGACCUUUUUUUGCUUCUUUGUGCACAUCCAAAGAGGUUUCCUAAGGUGAUGCAGAAGUGUGAAAACAGAAUUAAUGACUGGCACGGAUGUAAUAACCUGCAAAUGCUUCAACCUGGGGAAAAUGGAGAGGAUUUUCAUUGCUAUCUUGAGGGAGGGAACAACAGAUGUGAAAUCGUUAGAACCAGGGCAGUGUUUCCCAAAAGCAAAGGUAAAACAGAAAUAACUGCGAGGUCAUUCAACAUUGCAGCUGAGAAAGGGAAAGCAAAUUAACAUUUUAUAUAAUAAAGAGUUUGGAGGACUAUUUUGUCAUAAGACAGCUUACACCAUUUGUGAGCUAAGAAGAGCCUCUUGCCUUCAAAAAACCUCCUCGUGUUAAAACCAGGAGCUGAAGUCAAGUGAGACUUAAGAGCUUCCUAAAGUGCUAUAGUGAGUGCUCCUGGGACAGACCUGCGCAUGUACCUAAGUGCUCUACAAAGCAUUUUUUACCAUUUACAGGGACUGGAAAUGGCAUAAGACAUAAAUACAGGCCUUUAAGUGCGCACAUAGAGAUGUGCGGACAGUACAGUGUGUUGAUCAGAGAACAAAGGCCAGACUGGCUCUACACAUGGAUUUCUUCAUGUUUCAAGAUCUAAACUCAAACCAGAGAGCUGGAAGAAGGUACAGCCAUCCUUAGGUCAUACUAUGUAUAUUUAGAAAUCCCCUCCAUCUCUGCUACCAUUGAAUAGAAAUAGCUCAUGUGAAGGCAGGCAGGUAUUAGAUCACUUGGGACCAUGGUGGGUAAGGCAUCAUCAUCCAAAAUGGAAUCUGUAUCUGGACUUAACUGCGUGGCUGAGAUCCCACAUGGAAAAGUGUUGCUGAAAGUGAGGCUUUCACCUGCAAUGUCCUGUCAUUCCCCCUACCAGCUGUUCCAACAACACUAACAUUUUGGACAAAGGAAUUAUUAAUGUUACUUCACAUUUAAUGACUAUUUUUUCCUGGUAUUGACUUUCCCUAACAUUAAAUGUUGCUAUGAUUUCUUUUUCUUUAAAGAAAACUUGUGUGAACGGUAGCAUCAUUUUGACAAAAAUACCCACUCAGAAUUUGUAUGAAGAUUAGAAGAUAAAUAUUAAUAAGACUAGUAUACAUGGGGAAAUUAAAAGGACCUAAGAAUAAUAUUGGUGUGUAUAAUUUAACAUAUACAUCUACUACCCUAUUAAGUGAAUCUGAAUAUGCCUAAUUCGCAGAACUGGAGAAAGCAAAAUAAUUGAACUGAUUAAUAAAUGAUACAGGGCAAAAUUACCUGUUCAGUUAUUGUGCUAUACCCGAGCCUGACAUCUCCAGUAUCAAAGCACACAGCUACCUCCUUCUUACGCUGCGAAUAUUUUACUCAUGUUAAAUUGAGAUGAACAUAAUGUACCCAAAUAAUUAAACUCUGAAAUACAGCUAAAUAAACCAGCAUCACUUCAUUCAUUCCAGUGGAGCUAUGGUAAGUCACAGGACAUUAUGUUGCCCAAGGUGUUUGAGAAGAGGUAGGAGUGACACUGGA